AGGACUCACAGCAGUUUACGAUGUGGCAAGACAGGGGUAAGGUCAGCUAAGAACAACAGAACGUAGAAAAUUCUUGUGGCUUACGACCACUUCUUCCCCCGGAAGGUUGAAAAAGUGAUAAAGGAGAACCAUUAUUCUGUCCUGAAUUUUGAUCCGUUGGGAAAAACGAGUUAAGAUGAAAAGAGCAAGGAGGCGGAAAGGAGCAGCUUAAACUUUGGAGAAAAUGCGGAGGAAGAGCAGCAGCUCAGUCAGACACGGACUUCAGCACUAGUGGAGUGGAUUCCUAGAGAUCAGAGAAAACACAGAAGGUGAGAGACUCCCAGGAAGCCAGUCUGACUACAGUUCCACUGACACGGAUGGCACAGGAGUGAGAAGGGUGGCCGCAAGAAGUUACGUGGCUGCCCAAGGUCAUCUCUGAUGAGCUUGACUUUAAAAGAAUAUCCAUUAAAAAUGGAGUCAUCAGCACAAAGUGGAUAAAACAUUGGCUGUGCGGAAAUGCAUCUGACUGGCAUCCCUGAGGACGCAGAUGAGUCUCCCUGGCAUGCCCAGAGAAUUCAGUCAGUGGAGAAAAACGCCAAAGGAAAAACGGCCCCCAACCAGCUUACCCCAGUUCUCCUCUCCAAGUGGAACCAUUGUUAACAGUUUCUUUCUUUCUUCUUCUUUUUUUCUUUUUUGAUUUUUUAAAGUUUUAUUGAAGGAUAGGUGAUUUACAAUGUCAUAAUAAUUUCUGCUGUACAACAAGUAGGAAGACUGGAGCUCACUAGCCUGAGAACCUAAGAUCCAGCCAAGAGACGAGCUCAUCUGAGCACCUGGCAGAUCUAAAUGAGAUGGGCAGGUUUACUAGACCAAGAGUCAAUCAGGAAUUUGAAGACAUUGUGAAUCUGGGUGUCAGGAGGCAGCUGACAGUGUUAGGAUAUCCUUAUGGAGAAAUACAGGAUGUGGUCUAGGAGCAAAGAGAUUCAUCUGGCAUCCUAAUUAGCCAGACAACCCGACGCAAAGGAUGCUGGGGAAUGGUCCAUAUAAACCACCUGGCUGGGGACCUGGAGGAUGGAGUUCAAGGAAACAUCAUCCAUAUCAUCCUGCUCUACAAGGACUUGGUCAGGGUAUAGCCUUAUCUGAUAUUUUUGAUAUUCUCUUUUUUAAAGGAGAAUGUGGGUUUUUUUGUUUUUUUGUUUUUGCCAAGCCUGCAGCAUGCAGAAGUUCCAG
rnacentral:lncRNA from 1 species